rnacentral:tRNA from 1 species
CUUAAUAAGAAGCAAAUUGCAGUUAGUUUCGACCUAAAAGUUUGAUAUUAAAAUAUCCUUAUU